rnacentral:rRNA from 1 species
UGGGGAAUCUUGCACAAUGGGGGCAACCCUGAUGCAGCGACGCCGCGUGAGCGAUGAAGCCCUUCGGGGCGUAAAGCUCUUUCGACCGGAACGAUAAUGACGGUACCGGGAGAAGAAGCUGCGGCUAACUACGUGCCAGCAGCCGCGGUAAUACGUAGGCAGCAAGCGUUGUUCGGAGUUACUGGGCGUAAAGAGUGCGUAGGCGGUUUUCUAAGUUCGGUGUGAAAUCUCCCGGCUUAACGGGGAGGGUGCGCCGAAGACUGGGAAGCUGGAGUGUGGGAAAGGCAGGCGGAAUUCCUGGUGUAGCGGUGAAAUGCGUAGAUAUCAGGAGGAACACCGGCGGUGUAGACGGCUUGCUAGACCAUAACUGACGCUGAGGCACGAAAGCGUGGGUAGCAAACA